AUAGUAUAAAUAGAGAAAGAAAACCAGAAAUUUGUUAUAAAUCGUCGAAGAUGAAGCUGAUACACAUUGCAUUAAUUGCUUGUAUUCUUUUUUCAAGUCUUCAAAUGCAUUCAUCCCAACCGCUGUUACCAAAGGACCUAAAGAAUCGGGAGAACUUCCGGUGCCCUGAUAUAAACAGUCCCUAUUGUACCCUGGACGGGGCCAAGAGAUAUAAGAACGCCUGCGAAGCCUGGAAAGCGUACGAAGAAAAGGUCAAGCCCUGCACGUAGCACAAAAAGGUUACGAUGAACCAAAAGAUCAUAAAGGACAUCAUUUUGAUGGAUCUCACACUAGGAGUCAGCCAACCCACGAAAAUCCAGUUUCUGAUAUUGUAUUUUAUACGCUUGUUUUAGUAUUUUGUCUUUUGUUAUAUCUAUACACUUAUUUAUUUAUUUUUUUCCAAUUUGUUAAUAAA